rnacentral:snoRNA from 1 species
CGGAGACAAAGUUUACAUGCUAAGGUCCACAUCUUUUUCGUGUCUACAAUGCUCCAAGAAAAAUGUUUCGUUUAAAUUAUCCUUUGCAUUCUACAUUUUGGCUUUGGAUGCAUUUAAUUCGUGCACAUAU